UUAAGAGGGAUAGCCCGAAGAAAUUCGGAUUAAUACCUCAUAAUAUUGAUAUUUGGCAUCAAAUAUUAAUUAAAGUUUCGGCGGUAAAAGAUGGGCAUGCGUUUUAUUAGUUAGUUGGUAAGGUAACGGCUUACCAAGACUACGAUAAAUAGGGGUCCUGAGAGGGAGAUCCCCCACACUGGUACUGAGACACGGACCAGACUCCUACGGGAGGCAGCAGUGAGGAAUAUUGGACAAUGGGCGAGAGCCUGAUCCAGCCAUGCCGCGUGCAGGAAGACGGCCCUAUGGGUUGUAAACUGCUUUUAUACAGGAAGAAACCACCUUACGUGUAGGGUGCUGACGGUACUGUAAGAAUAAGCACCGGCUAACUCCGUGCCAGCAGCCGCGGUAAUACGGAGGGUGCAAGCGUUAUCCGGAAUCAUUGGGUUUAAAGGGUCCGUAGGCGGAUUAUUAAGUCAGAGGUGAAAUCCCACAGCUUAACUGUGGAACUGCCUUUGAUACUGGUAGUCUUGAGUUAUAUGGAAGUAGAUAGAAUGUGUAGUGUAGCGGUGAAAUGCAUAGAUAUUACACAGAAUACCGAUUGCGAAGGCAGUCUACUACGUAUAUACUGACGCUAAUGGACGAAAGCGUGGGGAGCGAACAGGAUUAGAUACCCUGGUAGUCCACGCCGUAAACGAUGGACACUAGUUGUUGGGAUUUAUCUCAGUGACUAAGCGAAAGUGAUAAGUGUCCCACCUGGGGAGUACGGUCGCAAGAUUGAAACUCAAAGGAAUUGACGGGGGCCCGCACAAGCGGUGGAGCAUGUGGUUUAAUUUCGAUGAUACGCGAGGAAACCUUACCAGGGCUUUAAAUGUAAGUUGCAUGAUUUAGAGAUAGAUCUUUGCUUCCGACUACCUUACA
rnacentral:rRNA from 1 species